rnacentral:sRNA from 1 species
CAGGUUGGUUAGGGCAAAUUUUGUUUAGUCCCACAUCGCUCGUCCACAGCAGGAGGCACGACGAAGAGGCUAUAAAAGGGACCAGCUGCUACCUCAAUCCUCACUUACCUGGACGGGGUCAAUGACCUAUCAAGAAGGCUCAUGGCCUAGGUUAGCAGCCUCCAUUGCACUUCGGAGGAGUGCUGGCUUACCAUCUCCCUAAGUGGGAGAAUGGAUGUCAUAAUUUGUGCUAGUAGGGUUACGCGUCCGCGCGGCCCUUGC